rnacentral:rRNA from 1 species
AGUAGUUUGAUCAUGGCUCAGGACGAACGCUGGCGGCACGCUUAACACAUGCAAGUCGAACGAAGCGGAGGGAGCUUGCUCCCGAAGCUUAGUGGCGGACGGGUGAGUAACACGUGAGCAACCUGCCUUCAGGUGUGGAAUAAUGGCUGGAAACGACCACUAAUACCGCAUAACAUACAUUUGCCGCAUGACAGAUGUAUCAAAGAUUUAUCGCCUGAAGAUGGGCUCGCGUCCGAUUAGCCAGUUGGUGAGGUAACGGCUCACCAAAGCGACGAUCGGUAGCCGUACUGAGAGGUAGAACGGCCACAUUGGGACUGAGACACGGCCCAGACUCC